AAUAUGACUCUCGGCAACGGAUAUCUCGGCUCUCGCAUCGAUGAAGAACGUAGCGAAAUGCGAUACCUGGUGUGAAUUGCAGAAUCCCGCGAACCAUCGAGUCUUUGAACGCAAGUUGCGCCUGAGGCCACCCGGCUGAGGGCACGCCUGCCUGGGCGUCACGC
rnacentral:rRNA from 1 species